ACAUGCCUACAAUAUAACGUUAAUGCAUCGGAUACCAUUAGAACUCCAUAGUUAAGCACUCUCAGGCUAGAGUAGUAUUGGGAUGGGUGACCACCCGAGAAGUCUUAGUGUUUUACAUGCC
rnacentral:rRNA from 1 species